UGUUUUCCGGAUUCCCGGAAGAACUCGCCCAUAAAAGCGAAGUCCUUGUGAAAUACACUCCUCGAGAUGUGACGAUCGGUUUAAUCUUUCCGACUUUCACUGGCGAGUCUGUAGUAUGUCCGCUUCUUGAGUCUGUUCAUCGGCUUCAUUAACACGGAUAACACCUAGACCGCGGCAGUACUGUGGUGGCCCGUGGCCAGAACCUGAUGACCUUCCUCCUGAUGAACUGACACUACCUCAGUGCCCACCCCGCGCAUCUUGCCACGCAGGAGUUCUCCCAUCUCCCAAGAUCCCAGGAAGAACACUACCUACCAGGUGAUAUCUAGAUGAACUGAAAAUAUAGCAGAAAGUACAAUUUGUGGAAGACACAGGUGACAAAGUUUGUUGGCUAAGAAGAACUCACAAAGAACAGGGACGGAAAUGAAGGAAAAGGAGAGGUGGUGGAGGGCAAAGGAAGAGAAUUUCUGUGUAGGAAAUAGUCACACAUCAUCCAAAGCUGAGUUCCAUCAGUUUUUGCUUCACAUAUUUUGCAGCUCUGUUGUUUGGUACCUAGACAAUUAGGUUUGCUGUGACUUCUUGGCGGAUUGACAUGUGAUAUUCCUCUCUGUCCCUCAUAAUUUUCCUUGCUGACAUCCAUUUUGUCUAGUAUUGAUAUAACCAUACCUGUUUACUUUUAAUUAAUGCUUGCAUAGUAUA